rnacentral:rRNA from 1 species
UGUACCCUACGGGGGGCGGCAGUGGGGAAUAUUGCACAAUGGGGGAAACCCUGAUGCAGCGACGCCGCGUGAGCGAUGAAGUAUUUCGGUAUGUAAAGCUCUAUCAGCAGGGAAGAAGAUGACGGUACCUGACUAAGAAGCCCCGGCUAACUACGUGCCAGCAGCCGCGGUAAUACGUAGGGGGCAAGCGUUAUCCGGAUUUACUGGGUGUAAAGGGAGCGUAGACGGCGGAACAAGUCAGAAGUGAAAACCCGGGGCUUAACCCUGGGAGUGCUUUUGAAACUGUUUGGCUGGAGUGCAGGAGG